UUAAUGAGAGUUUGAUCCUGGCUCAGGACGAACGCUGGCGGCGUGCCUAAUACAUGCAAGUAGAACGCUGAAGAGAGGAGCUUGCUCUUCUUGGAUGAGUUGCGAACGGGUGAGUAACGCGUAGGUAACCUGCCUUGUAGCGGGGGAUAACUAUUGGAAACGAUAGCUAAUACCGCAUAACAAUGGAUGACACAUGUCAUUUAUUUGAAAGGGGCAAUUGCUCCACUACAAGAUGGACCUGCGUUGUAUUAGCUAGUAGGUGAGGUAAUGGCUCACCUAGGCGACGAUACAUAGCCGACCUGAGAGGGUGAUCGGCCACACUGGGACUGAGACACGGCCCAGACUCCUACGGGAGGCAGCAGUAGGGAAUCUUCGGCAAUGGGGGCAACCCUGACCGAGCAACGCCGCGUGAGUGAAGAAGGUUUUCGGAUCGUAAAGCUCUGUUGUAAGUCAAGAACGGGUGUGAGAGUGGAAAGUUCACACUGUGACGGUAGCUUACCAGAAAGGGACGGCUAACUACGUGCCAGCAGCCGCGGUAAUACGUAGGUCCCGAGCGUUGUCCGGAUUUAUUGGGCGUAAAGCGAGCGCAGGCGGUUUGAUAAGUCUGAAGUUAAAGGCUGUGGCUCAACCAUAGUUCGCUUUGGAAACUGUCAAACUUGAGUGCAGAAGGGGAGAGUGGAAUUCCAUGUGUAGCGGUGAAAUGCGUAGAUAUAUGGAGGAACACCGGUGGCGAAAGCGGCUCUCUGGUCUGUAACUGACGCUGAGGCUCGAAAGCGUGGGGAGCGAACAGGAUUAGAUACCCUGGUAGUCCACGCCGUAAACGAUGAGUGCUAGGUGUUGGAUCCUUUCCGGGAUUCAGUGCCGCAGCUAACGCAUUAAGCACUCCGCCUGGGGAGUACGACCGCAAGGUUGAAACUCAAAGGAAUUGACGGGGGCCCGCACAAGCGGUGGAGCAUGUGGUU
rnacentral:rRNA from 1 species